rnacentral:rRNA from 1 species
UGGGGAAUAUUGCACAAUGGAGGGAACUCUGAUGCAGCAACGCCGCGUGCGGGAUGACGGCCUUCGGGUUGUAAACCGCUUUCAGCCAGGACGAAGCUUUUGUGACGGUAGUGGUAGAAGAAGCACCGGCUAACUACGUGCCAGCAGCCGCGGUGAUACGUAGGGUGCGAGCGUUGUCCGGAUUUAUUGGGUUUAAAGGGUGCGUAGGUGGGCUGUUAAGUCAGCGGUGAAAGUUUGUCGCUUAACGAUAAAAUUGCCGUUGAAACUGGUAGUCUUGAGUAUAGAUGAAGUAGGCGGAAUGCGUGGUGUAGCGGUGAAAUGCAUAGAGAUCACGCAGAACUCCGAUUGCGAAGGCAGCUUACUAAGGUAUAACUGACACUGAAGCACGAAAGCGUGGGUAUCAAACAGG